CGUCCUAAUGCAUGCUCAGGGCUCUUUUUCCUGAAAUAACAGUUUUGAUGACCCCAGGGCUGGGGGAGGGCGGGUUAGACAAGAACACUCAAGUUGGGUUAUUUCUGUAUGAAAUAUUGAUCGCCACUGAUGGACCAUUACCAUGUAGAAUAGGAUGGAUUACCACAGAGAAGAGAAUCUAUCUGAGGACUAGCGAUAGAGACGAAGGGAAUUAAAUGGGAGAUCUGACAGGAGAGAAGACACCAUGCUGAUAAAAAUACAGAGAACAAGUGAUUUAAGGAAAAGUAGAGAUGUUAACUCAUGGUAGGGGCCUCUCUCAAACCCUUUCUGCUUUCCUCUCUCUCUUUCCAUUUCUCUCAUUUCAGCUAAAUGCACCUGCUGCUGGGCUAACAGGACUGAAUAAUUGGCAGAUCAGUUAAGGGCCUGUGUAUUUCCCCUACCCUGUGGUUCAGGCACCACAUGGGUGAAUAUUCUCCACCUCCUGGAUCCCCUGCUGCUCUGGACCGGGAUCGAAAUCAAGCCAUUCAUGAUACACAGAGGUUACAGCUGAGGAAAUCCACAGGGAGCCUGAGGCUCAGCGUCUUCCAAUUUUCACUACAUCACCAAGACAAUAAUCAAUUGAGCCAGGAGCAGACACACAGGAAGGCCUCAAUACCACAGCAUGACUCACAUGGAUUGAGACUGAAUGGUGAGGUGAGUCAGGGGUGAGAGAUGAUGGGUGUGUGAGCGGAAAUGGUUUUCUCCAUUCGUUUGAUGCAUAAAUGAAUGGUUAAUUAUUUAUUUAUUUGCUAUAGUGUAAUUCUCUGCCAGGAGGUCUCCAAAUGAAACACCUCAUUGAGUGUUAUGAUACUAAAAUAUACAGUGGGUAUAGAAUAGUAUCACCCCCUUUACAAUAAUCACAUUUUGCUGCCUGAAAUGAAGACGAACACAGUUUUUGUUUUAUCCAGCUUUAUUUACUCAGUGCAACUUAUAACAUCCAAGUGAAAGACAAAACCAAAAUGUCAGGAAAAAACAAACAAACCAAAAAAAAAAAAAAAAAACAAUCACUGAGUUGCAAAAAGUGUCAGUAUUUUGUUGAACCACCUUUUGCUUCAUUUACAUGAGACGCUACUAACUUUGCACAUCUAGACUUCGCAGUAUUUGUCUACUCGUCUUGCUGCUCAAGUUCAGUUCAAUUUGAUGCUGAAGGUUUGUGGACUGCAGUCAUUCCACAGAUUUUCAGUGGGGUUUGAGUCUGGGCUCUGGCCAUGCAAGGACAUUCACCUUUUUCUUCUUCAACCAAAGUGUGAUCAGUUUUGCUGUGUGCUUUUUUUAUUUUGCCCAUAGGUCUUCAACCCUGCUCCUGGGGACCCACUGUCCUGCAAAGUUUAUUUCCAACCUGCUUCAGCACACCUGGCCUGUGACUUUACAAGUGAUCCUUAAAGACGCAAUUGUAUGACGUUAUCGUAUGUCCCAAAGCUUGCCUACUCUUCUACUACACACUCAAAAAUGUGUACUUUUUCUUCACCAAAAAAGUACAUACUUUAAGAGCGUAGUAUAAGUAGGCACAUUGAGACGCAGGGCAGGAAAGCUCAUUUUAUGCUGAGCUGACCACAGCUGAACAUCAUAUGGCUUUGUGUGCCAUUGAGAAGGUGAUUAGCUACACCUAAUUGAGUUUACAAGUCAUUUUUAGGAUGGGGGUGGGGGUUCUGACAUGUUGGUGUUAUAUCUUUCACUUGGAUAUUAUAAGUUGCACUGAGUAAAUACAGCUGGAUAAAACAAAAACUGUGUCCAUAUUCAUUUCAGGCUGCAAAGCAACAAAAUGUGAUUAUUUUAAAGGGGGUGAUUCUUUUCUAUGCCCACUAUAUAAAUACUGUAUUUUCUUUAAUAUAUAGUAAGUCACUAUUUUUUUAAUCAUCUGAAACGUGCUGCAAAACAUUUUCCAAAGCAGUUAUAAAACAUCAAGCACGCCAAACAUGCCAAAAACUGCAUACAUCUGAAUCUGUGAAGAAUGAGCAAAGUAGUCAUAUUUUUCCUUUAAAUAAAUGUAAGCUGUUUGUUUUAUACUUACA
ensembl:lncRNA